rnacentral:tRNA from 1 species
GCCGGUGUGGAGGAGUCCGGAGUCCUCGCUUCCCCGUCAAGGAAGAGACCACGGGUUCGAAUCCCGUUACUGGCG